rnacentral:ncRNA from 2 species
UGAUACCAGGGUCAAAAGGUCUGAGCCCACAUGAGCUCGCUCAUAGGUNGGGGAAAGACCUUGGGAACCGNCCCAAUAUGAGCAUAAAAGUGGGAUGAUGAUCCCACGAUAUGCGAAUAUUGGGUCAGAUUGUGGGAGUGCGUAUCACGGAACAAUCCGGUAGUGUCA